CUUUCUCCACAAAACACCUUCUUUCUCCUCAAAACACUCCAAGUGUUUUGGGGAGAAAGAAGGUGUUUUGUGGAGAAAG